rnacentral:rRNA from 1 species
GAAUGAACGUUGGCGGCGUGGAUUAGGCAUGCAAGUCGUACGCCCCGCAAGGGCGUGGCGCAAGGGUGAGUAAGGCGACGGCAACCAACCCCGCGGCCGGCAUAGCCACUCGAAAGGGUGGGUAUUCCCGACGCCCCAGGGUGAUGGCAUCACCAUCCUGGGAAAGGUNAGACUCCGCCGUGGACGACCGUCGUGGUAUCAGCUUGUUGGCGGGUAAUGGCCCACC